rnacentral:rRNA from 1 species
UGUCUCCUACGGGAGGCAGCAGUCGGGAAUAUUGCGCAAUGGAGGAAACUCUGACGCAGUGACGCCGCGUAUAGGAAGAAGGCUUUCGGAUUGUAAACUAUUGUCGUUAGGGAAGAUAAAAGACAGUACCUAAGGAGGAAGCUCCGGCUAACUACGUGCCAGCAGCCGCGGUAGUACGUAGGGAGCAAGCGUUAUCCGGAUUUAUUGGGUGUAAAGGGUGCGUAGACGGGAAAUUAAGUUAGUUGUGAAAUCCCUCGGCUCAACUGAUGAACUGCAACUAACACUGAUUUUCUUGAGUGCAGGAG